rnacentral:rRNA from 1 species
AGUUCGGAUUGUAGUCUGCAACCCGACUACAUGAAGCUGGAAUCGCUAGUAAUCGCGAAUCAGAAUGUCGCGGUGAAUACGUUCCCGGGUCUUGUACACACCGCCCGUCACACCAUGGGAGUCGGAAAUGCCCGAAGUCAGUGACCCAACCGCAAGGAGGGAGCUGCCGAAGGUGGGGCCGGUAACUGGGGUGAAGUCGUAACAAGGUAAC